GUGUCAGCCGCCGCGGUAAUACGUAGGGUGCGAGCGUUGUCCGGAAUUAUUGGGCGUAAAGAGCUUGUAGGCGGUCCGUUGCGUCGGAAGUGAAAACUCAGGGCUUAACCCUGAGCCUGCUUUCGAUACGGGCGGACUUGAGGAAUGUAGGGGAGAACGGAAUUCCUGGUGGAGCGGUGGAAUGCGCAGAUAUCAGGAGGAACACCAGUGGCGAAGGCGGUUCUCUGGACAUUUCCUGACGCUGAGAAGCGAAAGCGUGGGGAGCAAACAGGCUUAGAUACCCUGGUAGUCCACGCCGUAAACGGUGGGCACUAGGUGUGGGACCCUUCCACGGGUUCCGUGCCGUAGCUAACGCAUUAAGUGCCCCGCCUGGGGAGUACGGCCGCAAGGCUAAAACUCAAAGGAAUUGACGG
rnacentral:rRNA from 1 species